rnacentral:rRNA from 1 species
AGCGAACGCUGGCGGCAGGCUUAACACAUGCAAGUCGAGCGGGCAUCCUUGUGGUGUCAGCGGCAGACGGGUGAGUAACGCGUGGGAACGUGCCCUUCGGUUCGGAAUAACUCAGGGAAACUUGAGCUAAUACCGGAUACGUGCGAGAGCAGAAAGGUUUAUCUGCCGAAGGAUCGGCCCGCGUCUGAUUAGCUAGUUGGUGAGGUUACGGCUCACCAAGGCGACGAUCAGUAGCUGGUCUGAGAGGAUGAUCAGCCACACUGGGACUGAGACACGGCCCAGACUCCUACGGGAGGCAGCAGUGGGGAAUAUUGGACAAUGGGGGCAACCCUAAUCCAGCCGUGCCGCGUGAGUGAUGACGGCCUUAGGGUUGUAAAGCUCUUUUCUCCGGGACGAUAAUGACGGUACCGGAGGAAUAAGCCCCGGCUAACUUCGUG